rnacentral:rRNA from 1 species
AUUGAACGCUGGCGGCAUGCCUUACACAUGCAAGUCGAACGGAUCCUUCGGGAUUAGUGGCGGACGGGUGAGUAACACGUGGGAACGUGCCCUUUGGUUCGGAACAACUCAGGGAAACUUGAGCUAAUACCGGAUGUGCCCUUCGGGGGAAAGAUUUAUCGCCAUUGGAGCGGCCCGCGUCUGAUUAGCUAGUUGGUGAGGUAAAGGCUCACCAAGGCGACGAUCAGUAGCUGGUCUGAGAGGAUGAUCAGCCACAUUGGGACUGAGACACGGCCCAAACUCCUACGGGAGGCAGCAGUGGGGAAUCUUGCGCAAUGGGCGAAAGCCUGACGCAGCCAUGCCGCGUGAAUGAUGAAGGUCUUAGGAUUGUAAAAUUCUUUCACCGGGGACGAUAAUGACGGUACCCGGAGAAGAAGCCCCGGCUAACUUCGUGCCAGCCGCCGCAGUAA